rnacentral:lncRNA from 1 species
AGAAAUCUAUGAAAUUUUGACACAAGGUUUAUGACCACAAAAGGAAGGUUGGGAUUGAUUUUGGGAGUUUUGGUUCCAACAGUUUAGGAAUUAGGGGCCAAAAAAGGGCCCAAAUAAGCAUUAUUCUUGGUUUUCGCACAAUAACUUUAGUAUAAGUAAAUAGAAAUCUAUGAAAUUUUGACACAAGGUUUAUGACCACAAAAGGAAGGUUGGGAUUGAUUUUGGGAGU